rnacentral:lncRNA from 1 species
UGGAUUGUAUAUGUACCUAAGUAGUCUCAUCCUCACAAUCUUCCUAUUGAUAAUGUAUCAUUGGAAGAAAAUGUUAGAUAAGUCUAUCAUAAGGAGGACAACACUUUUAAUGUCAUAAUUCUUCAAUUACAAUUUGUUGUAUGAAGAAAUAAGAGUUGUUUUGAACAACCCUUAGUCAAUGCAAACAUUAGUGCUUGUUUCUUUGUUAAAUGAACAAGGAACUUUAGAAGUAAGCACAAUGGCAUGGACACUUUAUGUGCCAUGAUUCUUCACUUACAAAUUGUUGUAUGAAGAAAUGAGAGUUGCCUUGUACA